rnacentral:lncRNA from 1 species
AAAUUCCUAUAGUCCGACUCGAGUCGACUUUCCUUACAGUGUUGGAGGGCGGGAACGCGCGUGCAGCCGUAGAGCGAGAGGGCGAGAGAGAGAGAGAGAGAGAGAGAGAGAGAGAGAGAGAGAGAGAGAGAGAGAUGUACAAUAUUCUGCCAAUACAGAUUUAUCUAUUCUGCUCUAAUUCACCGGCAACAUAAUACCCCGGGUCGAUACAAACGUCCUCUCUCUCUCUCUCUCUCUCUCUCUCUCUCUCUCUCUCUCUCUCUCUCUCUCUCUCUCUCUCUAUCCACCACAUACACAUACACGCGCCGGCCGCAGCCGUCAGCUGCUUGUAUGCUUCCCUCCUCGCACCAGCGGGUGGCCGCCUGGCUGCUCGCGCUACCGUUAGGGAGAGGUGGAGAGGAAUGCGCGCGCCGCGGCCGCCUGGAGAUGAUCUCGUUUUGGUUGCUGUGCUGGAAGCUGUUGAGAGCAUCAGCUGGACUAAGGAGACCAGCUGAGCUAACAGACAGUAACCCCGACAGCGGUAGCUCCAGCGACAAUAACCCUGUCAACAAUUCUCACACUCCUAUUCAGUCAACAAAUACAGUUACCAUGGAAAUCAGCUCAUCGCCACCAAUAACAGACAUGGAGAGAGAAAACUUGGUUAGCUGGCGCAGCCAGGAAGUCGAAGAGCUCCAUUACCCAGAGGUCCAUGGGGUGCAGCAGCCAAACGGGGAUGAGCAGGAGGAAGAAAAGCCUGCAGGGAAAGAAAAUGGAGAAAGAGAUGGAGAUGGAGAUGAGUGUGAUUAUAUUGUUUUUGAGAUAGGAGCGCAGAAGGGAGGGGACAAAGGAGGUGACGGUGAAGAUGAUGGAGGACAAGACACAGAGAGAGGAGACGAGGAGGGAGAAGAAGUAGGAAGAAGAGACACAGAAGGAAAGGAAGAAGGGAGAGAAAAAACAGAGAGAGAAGAUGGAGGAAGAGGAGACACAGAAGAAGAGGACAGGUGGAUAGGAGAGAAAGUGGGAGAGAUAAAGGACGAUGCUCUGUCGGAGCUCCUCUUCUUUAGUCCUUCAUCACCAGAGCCCCUAACUGUCACCUCAGAUCCUUUAGAGGCCUGGGGUCACGACCUCAGCAACAGAGAUGACCUAAGCGACAGUCACCUUAGCGACUGCCUCCAAGCUGAGCUGGCUGUUGUGUACUCGGAUAGCGACGCAGGAGAGGACCAAUGGGCUAUCUUCACACCCUGUGAUGUCACUAACCAAGAAGAAGCAGGUGGAGGGAUUCAUGAUAGCAUCUGUGAUGGAGAGAGCAAGGAAGAGGAGAGAGGGUAUGAGGCAGAAGUAGAGACUGGAACAGAGGAGCAGAGAGAGGAGGAAGAGGAGAAGAGGAGGGGAGGCAGGGGUGAUGAUGAUGAGGAGCAGAUGAGGUCAGGGAGAGAUCUUUUCCUGCGUACUCCUUCUGUCAGCUCCUCAGCCAGUUCCACAGACCCUGACAGGAAGGUUCCUGUAGACUUCUGUGUCCAACAGCAGAGCCACAGUGAAAAUGUCUCCAAUGAGCAUGUGGACUUUCUGUUGGCCCGCCAGCAGUGGAGGAAGAUGGAGGAUGAGGUGAAAGGUCAGCCAAUCCCCAAACCAGGGCUCAGAGCUCAGGGGAGCUUCCAGGGCACCCACACUUCACUGUAUCCCCCCACUCGCAGCCCCCGACUCAAACACAGGGAGAUCCAUCCACCACCAGUGCCCCGGGAGCCCCCCCUGGCCUACACCCUGUCCCCCAGUUCAGAGGACUCAGGCCUGGAUGACUUGUCAUACCGCAGCCCGCUGGAGGAGCCAGAGAGUGCGGUGGAGAGAGAGAUCCGACUGACUCUGGAGAGAGAGGAACGGCACCGCAGGGAGAGGGGUGUGAUUACACAGGGCCUCACUAUACCCAGACCCUCCACCCUGCAGACAGGACGAUCUCCACCCAGACCUCCAGCCUGCCGCACCCCUACCUUGUCCAUCUCCCCAUCCCCUUCCUGCUCCUCUUCCCUUCCCCGAUCUGUCUACCAUGAAAUGACAGCCAAUAAUGUCAUUAUCUUGGAGCCUGACUGCUCCAACUCCGCCUCCAGGAACCGCCUACUCUCCUCUGCAAUCGGGGGCCUCUCCGAUUGGCCGACAAGCCACGAUGCCAUGCCAUGUGCCACCGUCAUCGUUGUGGAAACCUCCAAUCUCAUCAUUCGCAGCGCUUCUGAAUUCUGUCUAAGCUCCGCCCCUGUGUCCAUGGAAAUGCAGGAGAGCACUUUCUCAUCCAAUCCGUUCUUUAAGCUACGCUCCCUCAGCAGCCAGUCGCUGGUGGAGCAAGAGAUCCGCAUGGUGAGGCAGCGGGAGGAGGAGUGGAGGAGGCAGAGGGAGGAGAUGUGGAGGAGGAGGAAGGAGGAGGACUGGAAGAGAGGGAGGGAGAGGUACGAUACUGUGCUGGUGUCUCCAGGCCUCAACGAUAAUAUAAGUUUCAACGUGCCAGAGGUUCCAGACAGAUGUGUCUCCUCCCCUUCCUCCCCCUCCAGGAACCGCAAAAUGGAACGCUCCAGUAUGUCUUGUGACCAGAAGUUCCCCUCUUCCCUCUCUUCGGUGCCAAGACGACAGAACGCCAUGGCGCAGCGAUGGGAGGCCUCCCUAUCAGCCAAUCAGAAGGAGUGAGCGAUGACUCAACUGUCAGCCAUUUAAAAGCCAAAAUGAAAUGUUACGCCUUGUUCCUUCUGUUCAGAACUCGUUAAUGUUUCCAUAAUGCUUUAAAGUCAAACUGUCUGCUGCAUGAUGUCUGAAACAGAAUGUCACAAUGGAAGUGCCAGCCAUGUCACACUUUAGAUAUUGUUUGUAUUAUACCUUGUGUGGACUUCUAAGGCACAUUCCCAGGAGGUGUAUCCUAAUAAUAACUGAGUAAAAUUGCAAUCAUAAUGAUACCACUGUUUUUUACAUGUGACCUAGAUUUUAUGUAAACUUCUAAAGCACAUGUCAGAAUCUGGGGUAUUCUCCUUUAAUAUUUACAGCACUUUGAUUUCUAGAUGUUUAUGAAUUAUGGUACUACAAGUGUGGAUAUUUAUUGAUUUUAUGACUGACUGACUGUAUUGCAGAGAUUUUCAAACUUUUUCUGGGCAGUCACAUUUAGACAUUAAAAUGAGUAACAGCAUAUACAGCUUUUAUUAGAAAAUAUUGUAGCUUUGCAGAGAUUUGACAAGGUACAACAUUAUUUAGCAUGUUGUAUUCUUUAAAAAAUGACAAUUCAUGUAUUUUUAGUUGCCAAGCCAGAAUUUAAAAAUCACUGCCUGUGUGAAAUGUUAUAAUGAGCCAUCGAUCAAAAGACUUUGGAUAUUGCGGGUUUCCAUGUCAGCCAUGUUGGCUGCUAACUGAAUACUAUUUGGGUCAUAUUUUCACUGACUAGUUUUUGCCUGUUCUUUGGAAGAGGUCGGUUGUUACCCAGUGUUCCGGAGGGGGGCAGUUUUGUGGAAAGAGCAAACACACUCUUUUCAGACAUAUUGUAAUUUCAAGCCAUGCUAAUGUUCUUUACUCGCCGUACGCCACAGGGCUUUUCUGAUGAAAGCUUUUGAUGUUCUACAUAAAACCAACAGUGGUAAGGCCUACAAGUUAACCUGAGCCGUGUUAAAACAAUUAAACCUUUAUCAGAUAGCUACCUAAUGUAAGAUUAGAUUGGCUCCGCCCUGUUUGCCCUUUGGCUUCUGAAGAAACAUGUGAAUACAGGCUCUGAUAUAUCAAAACUACACAGUCAUUACCUGAGACAGGAAGGCUACAAAUACACAGCUGGUAGGGCUGUACCGAAUGUCUUUCUCUUUUACAUUUGAAGCUUCUGUUGAGGUUAGCUAAUGAAGCUUUCCCUAAAUCCUCAAUUUGAAUGAAAUUAUUUGUUGGAUUAAAUUAGUCUGUCUUUUUAAUUUUUUUAUUAAAGAAACUCAUCAGUUUUGUCAACAUAAAUACAUGUAGGUGCGGACUAAGUUUCAGUAAAUUAUGAAUCAUUUAAGCGCUGCUUUGAUACUCCCCGCACGAACCUGUGAUAUGUUCUAGUAAGCUUAUACAAACCCACGCAUCACUUCUACUGGAAUCUAAUUCUACAGAUAGUAUAAUACUAUUAAUAUUCGUGUAGCCUAAUCUUUAUUUCCACCUGUGCAGAAAUACCAGUUUUAAACACAAUGAACAGACAUACAGAAGAAAAAAAAGCUGAGCAGGAUUUCGAUGUUGAUUUAGAAUUUGAAUGUCAACGUGAAUGAAGCUUCUAACUAUUCGGUACAGCCCUAAGAGCAAUACAAAAAGAAAACUUCCAAUAUGGAUUCCUGACACCUGACACACAGGCAUUCUCCACACAGUCGGCGCAUACAUGCUAGCUAGCUUACAGCUAAUGUCUGUUCAGUUGUUACAUUAGCUGUUGGGUCAAAUAGGCUGUAAAAAAAAUACUCAGCUGUCAAAGGUAUGUGAAUGUUCACAUUUAGUCUGAACACAUUUAAAGUGAGCUGUCAUUAGCACAUAUUUGCAGCCAACAUGCUUUAGCUUUUAGCAUGGAAGUCCCGUCCUGACUCUACAACCUGCCACUCUGUCUGUCUGUGGCUCUGCUGGUUUAGCUCAGUAACUCAAGCACUUCUCAAAGACUCAUAAUCUAAUCUAGUCUAGUGAAAAGUUUUACAUAUUUUUAUGUCCUGUCUUGAUUUCUAAAAAGAGAUUUCUUGUACUGUAUUUUUCUGCAUAUAUUUAUGAAUUGAGCAAUGCUUAUAAAUCCUUAAAGCUUUUAUUUGUGAAAGGUUUAUAAUAUAUUGUGUCAGAAUGUUUGAAUUGUAAGUCUGCUAUGUUUUUUAGAGAUGACUUGUGUGUGGUGUGUGCAUGUGUGUGUUUUAUAGUUCUCAUUACAUCCGCUAGUUGGAGCUUCCUUUAGUUUGGCUUCUCCAGCCCCAGGACCAGCCGACUCACUGUUUCCCCACUUGACUCAGCCGUAUAAAGGUGUAUUUAAGUCAACUCAGAAAUGACAGAUUUUAACUUCCAGGUUGGAAAUAAAAUAAGGUAAUACUAUUUUGAUUGUGCGAUAAGCUUUGAUCUGUUACAGUAUCAUUUGUUUUUGCACAGAAUCAAACCACAUUGGUCACAAAUGAACUACAUUUGAGCUGUGAGCCACUGUGCAACCUGAAGCUGUAUAUAUUUUCUAAACUCAAUUUUGAGAGGCUAGGUUUAAAUUUCCUCAAAUCUAUCUUAGUAGCAUAUUACAUUUCAUUUGAGUUGAUGGUCGCUAUUUUCCUCCUUUUUAUUGGCUGUAAAAUUAAUUAAGUGAAUUCGGCAAAAAAUACUCCACAUUCUGUGAAAAAAUGUUUUCCCAAGUUUAGAUGAAGUUAAUAAGGCAAGUGUGUGUAAGUACCAUUAAUUUCUGUUUUCCCUUACAUUUUUUACUGUGUGUGUAUAUAUAUAUAUAUAUAUAUAUAUAUAUAUAUAUAUAUAUAUAUAUAUAUAUAUAUAUAUAUAUAUAUAUGUAUAUAUUACCUGAACCUAGUCUAUACAAGUCUGAAUGUCCUUGUGAGAAGUACAAGCAGGUUGUUAAAUAUAAUUUUGCGCGAUGAAGAAAACACUCAAAUUGCAGAAGCCUAUUUUUUUCUUUAUAUUGUCUUAGCUGCAUUUUUGCACAGAAUUAAGCUGAGAAUGUUUUUUAUAGCAGUCACACUAGGAAGAGAUCGCUUCAGGACCAGCACGGAGAGGAGGAACAGUAACUGUUUCAUCAACCUUUAGCAUGUGACAUGUGUUAAGGUAGACUUGAAUAAAUCUGAACAUAUCCUUUAACACAAAUCUAGGAGCGGAUGUUGUUUGAGAUUCUGAGAUGUGUUGAAUGCGCAAUAAUAACUGCCAUGUGUAAAGUUGUGCAUGUCAUGAUGUUUCUGUGUAGAUGAUAUACUGUAUGAUACUACAACUAUCUAAAAUACUUCAUUACUCCACAACACUACUCUAGUUUUUAGAAGAAAGUGCAUUUAGUUCUUGUGAGGUGUGGCGAUGUUCAUGCUGCUUCUCAUAUGCUACCUGCUAAUCUUCUGUAUGGACUCAUAUAAACUGCUGUCCUGAACAUUAAUGCUUUUCCUCACUAGCCUCACAUUUAUCAAUUAUUCUGGUUCUGUUUAUUUGCCUUGAGUUUCAGUCAUUUAUUAUUGCCAAAUUAAAGGUCUGGUGAUGACAUCGUCAAUAAAGCGUGUGACUCCUGAAACCUACUGUGUGUGUUCAUGCAUGUUUAUCUGUCAGCAACUAUCUUCAUCUUCAGACACACAUACAUAUUAUUAUUUUUUACAA